CUGCGCCACAAGUGGCAAUCACGAUUAUUGGGCCUAAAGCAUUCGUAGCCGGUUAGAUAACUCUUUUGUGAAAUUGUUGGGCUUAACCUAACAACGUGCAAGAGAAACUGUUUAACUUGGGACUGGGAGGAGGUAGGAGUAUUCCGGGGGGAGCGGUUAAAUGUUUUAAUCCUCGGGGGACUACCGGUGGCGAAGGCGCCUACCCAGAACAGAUCCGACGGUGAGGGACGAAGGCUAGGGGAGCAAAACGGAUUAGAUACCCGAGUAGUCC
rnacentral:rRNA from 1 species